AGCUUGACCUCAGAUCAGGUAGGGAUACCCCCUGAACUUAAGCAUAUCAAUAAGGGGAGGAAAAGAAACCAACAGGGAUUGCCUCAGUAACGGCGAGUGAAGCGGCAAAAGCUCAAAUUUGAAAUCUGGCGGUUUUACCGUCCGAGUUGUAAUUUGUAGAGGUAGCUUUGGGUAUACAGCCAGGUCUAUGUUCCUUGGAACAGGACGUCAUGGAGGGUGAGAAUCCCGUAAAUGGCUUGGCCAGUGCCUAUGUAUAGCGCCUUCAACGAGUCGAGUUGUUUGGGAAUGCAG
rnacentral:rRNA from 1 species